rnacentral:misc_RNA from 1 species
GAAAUGCGAUAAGUAAUGUGAAUUGCAGAAUUCAGUGAAUCAUCGAAUCUUUGAACGCAUCUUGCGCUCCUUGGUAUUCCUUGGAGCAUGCCUGUUUGAGUAUCAUGAAAUCUUCAACGUAAAUCUUUUGUUAACUCAAUUGGUUUCUACUUUGGUAUUGGAGGUCUUUGCAGCUUCACACCUGCUCCUCUUUGUUCAUUAGCUGGAUCUCAGUGUUAUGCUUGGUUCCACUCGGCGUGAUAAGUUAUCUAUCGCUGAGGACACUGUAAAAGGUGGCCAAGGUAAAUGCAGAUGAACCGCUUCUAAUAGUCCAUUGACUUGGACAAUACUUUUAUGAUCUGAUCUCAAAUCAGGUAGGACUACCCGCUGAACUUAAGC